CCACGGGGGGCUGCAGUGGGGAAUAUUGGACAAUGGGCGAAAGCCUGAUCCAGCCAUGCCGCGUGUGUGAAGAAGGCCUUCGGGUUGUAAAGCACUUUCAGUGGGGAAGAAAGCCUUGGGGCUAAUACCCUCGAGGAAGGACAUCACCCACAGAAGAAGCACCGGCUAACUCCGUGCCAGCAGCCGCGGUAAUACGGAGGGUGCGAGCGUUAAUCGGAAUUACUGGGCGUAAAGCGCGCGUAGGCGGUCUGAUAAGCCGGUUGUGAAAGCCCCGGGCUCAACCUGGGAACGGCAUCCGGAACUGUCAGGCUAGAGUGCAGGAGAGGAAGGUAGAAUUCCCGGUGUAGCGGUGAAAUGCGUAGAGAUCGGGAGGAAUACCAGUGGCGAAGGCGGCCUUCUGGACUGACACUGACGCUGAGGUGCGAAAGCGUGGGUAGCAAACAGGAUUAGAUACCCCAGUAGUC
rnacentral:rRNA from 1 species